GUUCAGGCAUUCCAUUUAAUGCCAACUAUUAAGUUGGACAAUCCUGCUGCAGACUACUUCCAUCCUGGAUAGUGGGUAUGGUAUCUAUUUUAUGGUGAUUUCUUUAAGCAAUACCAUUUUGACCCUUUCUGAACAUAUUAACCUAAAUAAGUCCACAAUCCAAAUUUAUAUCAACUGAUCCCUAUUCAUUUUGUCAAAGUUUUCGCUGCCUUUGCUGCCUGAUUUCUGGACUAAUUAGCUGCAAUUUUGGCUUCCCUCCAUCAAUAGAUCAGGUGCAUAACUGCCCUACUGGAAUUCAGUACUUUUGUUUUUGCUAAAUUUAAAAUGCAUCGGAUGAAAAAUAAUUACAGGUGAAAAGGGGCAUAACCCCAGAAGCAUUAUAGCUAGAUCAUCAUGGAGGUAUACAAAUAUGAUUGUCAUGCUAUAUUACACAUAUCAACUGUAAAACAGAGACUGCUUACAUAAUCCAAGGGUUAAGAGGAGGAAAUUUAGCUAAAGAUUUCUGAAAGGUAGUUGAGGAAAACAACCUACAUUUGAUUUGUUGAAUGAUGUCAGGGAUUAAGAUGGUGCGAGGGAGGUUGCACCUAUCAUGAAUCCUAGCAUAUUUCUUUCUUGCCAUAACCUGUAGAUUAUAGUGUUGAGGCAAAGAGAGAAAAUAAGCCUUGAGCUUUGUUAUAAGGAUUGUUUUAUGUUUACGAGGGUGGUUAUGAAUCUGUUUCCAGGGGAUAUAUAUAUUUAAAAAUUAGAACUGUUUCUAAGGGAGGAUGACUAGACGAUACUUUAGAUUUGUCUUCUUUAAUCCAUUGAGUUUUACUAAUAACAUUACAUUUACUUUGAUAUUGUUCAUACCAAUCAUAAAAAGUAAUGUUAAUCUCUUCAUUUUUAAUAAAUCUUUUCCAUCUAUUUACUAUCUUAUCUCUUUCCUUUUCAAUUGGGUGAUUAGAUCUGAAUAGAUAUCUUUUUCCUUUAUUAGAUUUUGAAUUAAAAUCUUUAACUAAGUUAUCCCAAUCUAACACAAAAUCCUUUUUAAUGACUCUUAAUUGAUUGUAUGGGGAUGGUGACUCAUCUGAGAAGAUGAUCAACAGCACCUUCCGGCAUCCACAGGAGAUGGACCAGUCAACCAAGAAGACGCCAGAGGAGUCUUCAGUCACCGACAGGUGAUGGCCCACGCCAUCAUCUCUUUUACUUUAGUAAAUGUAAAAGCAAAAGUAAAAGAUGAGGUAGCUGGGGUUUGACUGACGAAGAUAUCAAAUGGUUUUGGUUGACUAGCAAGAACUGAAGAGUAGGGCUUGGGGACUGUACCAAGCACUUGGAAUUUAUUAUGUGUUUAUGUGACUGGGUGAGGAACAACAGUUCCUUUUGGUUGAUUAACUGGAUCGGCAGAGCGGCCAUGACCACGAGAAGAUGAACCUCCUCGUACACUCAUGUUGCUGUGAUUGUACCUGUGUUAAUAAAUUCACGA
rnacentral:lncRNA from 1 species